GGCUCUAACAAAAAAUGUCAAAUUAGAAACUUACAUUUUAAACAUAUUUAAUUCAGAAACAUAUAAACAAAAGUAGAUCCUUUCAAAUGUGCCCAAGAAAAGUUAAAAGUUAUGAAAAGUAGUGAACACAAUUCUGGAUAAUUAAAGCUUUGAAUAAGUCAAACAAAAAGCAUCUUUAAAAAGUGCUUGCUUCACAAUCAUUGGAGGCCUAAUUAAAGAUGAACAAACCAAAAUGUACCAAAUGCUCAAUGGGUCACUCCAACCUUUGUUGACAUGAGUAAACAUAACAACAGUUAACUAUUAGGUACCCCCCCCCCCCCCA